UGCUGACUGGCUCUGUAAUCUUCAAACAGUAAACGCGUUUGGUGGGUCCGCCGCUUGCCUUGACGAAUAGGCCCUCCAGGCCCACUUUAAGGUCGGGCAGGCGGAGGCGAGCAGGGUCCUGGGAUUUGGAGUGGUAGCCACAGAGCUAGGAGAAGGCGGAGGUACUAGUUUGAUUUCCUCCAGGGCUCACUUCGUUUUCCGGGCUGGAUGUUGUGAUUUUCGUGGCCGACACUGGAAAUCAGCGCUGAUGAGGCGCCUUGAGAGCGCUGGGUGCCUACGGACUCUGAAGGCUGUGGUGUGCAUUGCAAACGUUCCUCACCAUUAAAUGUAGGAAAUGUCUUCUACAAACACUAGCACUCACUGCCCUCCCGCCCCAGAAGCAGUUCGUUACUGCCGUGGUGAUCUGCCACUUUGAGCACGUUUUCAAGUGGCUACUUAGCCUAGAAAGUAGGAGUCCAGAGUCCCAGCUACAUAGGUGAGGACCGGAGAGGGGAUGUUCCAUCCAGGCGGAAGAGGUAAGCAGCAAUGUGUGUUCUAGAAGCUGCAAGCCACUUAAUAUUUUAAGAGGAGGAAAAUGAAGCCCGAGUUAGGAAGCCAGGUGCUGGAGGACUUUCCGGUUGAGAGAAGAUUGUCCUUGGAGGAAGGAACAGGUAGCGACCAAAGGUAAGAGAGGAAUCAACCUCAAUAUUGGUAGGUGAAAUAACUGGAGUAGACUUAUUCAGAGUCUUCAAACUCAAGAAUAUAAACCUCUAGAAGUAUUCAGGCCAGGAGAGUUUUCAGGAAAUCAGUGUGUACAUCCUAAUUUUUAGAGUCGCCCGAGAACACACUUUUCUCCCACUUUACAAAAAAAAAAAAGGCAUACCUCUCUCCAAUCGUGAAUCAAAUCUUAACUAUGAUGUCUUGCCUAAGGGUGUACAAACCUAUGGGACACCAGACACAAGAACAAUUGGAAAUAUGAUGCAAUGAGAAGGACUUCAUCUCUGUGGAAUUCUUCCCCCAAAUCUAUAACCCCAGUCUAAUCAAGAGAAAACAGCCAAAUCCAAGUUGAGACAUUCUAGAAAAUAUCUAACCAGUACACCUCAAAACUUUUCACAUCAUGAAAGACAUGAGAAACUCUGGAGGAGACGAGGAGAUGACAACUAAAUGCAACGUAUCCUGGAUUGAAUCUUGGAAGAGGAAAGAGACAUUAGAGGCAAAAAAUGGUGAAAUCAAUAAUGUCUGUAGUUCAUAGUAUUAUAGCAAUGUUAAUUUCUUAGUUCUGAUCAAUGUACCAUGCUUCAAGAUGUCAACAUUAGGGGAAGAGCUGGGUUAAGGCUAUGUGGGGGAACUCUGCACUAUCUUUGUGACGCUUCUGUAAAUCUAAAAGUAAUUGAAAAUCUAAAUUAAAAAACUGGUGGUAGAUGACAAUGUGAUUUGGCAUA